AUAGAAUACAUGGUUUGGAGACUCGAUGAAAGUACAAUAUAACUCAUUAACUAUGUUGGUUUCGGUUUAUGCAAGAAUUUGGGCCUAUCUCGUCACGUGUGUAUUGUAUUUUUCCCGCACAACCAAUAGCAAUGUUUAAAUUGAGCAUUUGUUCAAGUUACGGAUGGAUAUUAAACUCAACCACAAACUUGUUAUUGGUUAUUUGAGCGAAAAUACAAUACACACGUGACGAGAUAGGACCAAAUUCUUGCAUAAAGCUGGACAAUAACAUAGUUAAUGAGUUAUAUUGUACUUUCAUCGAGUCUCCAAACCAUCUAUUAAAAUAACUGUG